rnacentral:rRNA from 1 species
GAUGAACGCUGGCGGCGUGCCUAAUACAUGCAAGUCGAGCGAACGGACGAGAAGCUUGCUUCUCUGAUGUUAGCGGCGGACGGGUGAGUAACACGUGGAUAACCUACCUAUAAGACUGGGAUAACUUCGGGAAACCGGAGCUAAUACCGGAUAAUAUUUUGAACCGCAUGGUUCAAAAGUGAAAGACGGUCUUGCUGUCACUUAUAGAUGGAUCCGCGCUGCAUUAGCUAGUUGGUAAGGUAACGGCUUACCAAGGCAACGAUGCAUAGCCGACCUGAGAGGGUGAUCGGCCACACUGGAACUGAGACACGGUCCAGACUCCUACGGGAGGCAGCAGUAGGGAAUCUUCCGCAAUGGGCGAAAGCCUGACGGAGCAACGCCGCGUGAGUGAUGAAGGUCUUCGGAUCGUAAAACUCUGUUAUUAGGGAAGAACAUAUGUGUAAGUAACUGUGCACAUCUUGACGGUACCUAAUCAGAAAGCCACGGCUAACUACGUGCCAGCAGCCGCGGUAAUACGUAGGUGGCAAGCGUUAUCCGGAAUUAUUGGGCGUAAAGCGCGCGUAGGCGGUUUUUUAAGUCUGAUGUGAAAGCCCACGGCUCAACCGUGGAGGGUCAUUGGAAACUGGAAAACUUGAGUGCAGAAGAGGAAAGUGGAAUUCCAUGUGUAGCGGUGAAAUGCGCAGAGAUAUGGAGGAACACCAGUGGCGAAGGCGACUUUCUGGUCUGUAACUGACGCUGAUGUGCGAAAGCGUGGGGAUCAAACAGGAUUAGAUACCCUGGUAGUCCACGCCGUAAACGAUGAGUGCUGAGUGUUAGGGGGUUUCCGCCCCUUAGUGCUGCAGCUAACGCAUUAAGCACUCCGCCUGGGGAGUACGACCGCAAGGUUGAAACUCAAAGGAAUUGACGGGGACCCGCACAAGCGGUGGAGCAUGUGGUUUAAUUCGAAGCAACGCGAAGAACCUUACCAAAUCUUGACAUCCUUUGACAACUCUAGAGAUAGAGCUUUCCCCUUCGGGGGACAAAGUGACAGGUGGUGCAUGGUUGUCGUCAGCUCGUGUCGUGAGAUGUUGGGUUAAGUCCCGCAACGAGCGCAACCCUUAAGCUUAGUUGCCAUCAUUAAGUUGGGCACUCUAAGUUGACUGCCGGUGACAAACCGGAGGAAGGUGGGGAUGACGUCAAAUCAUCAUGCCCCUUAUGAUUUGGGCUACACACGUGCUACAAUGGACAAUACAAAGGGCAGCGAAACCGCGAGGUCAAGCAAAUCCCAUAAAGUUGUUCUCAGUUCGGAUUGUAGUCUGCAACUCGACUACAUGAAGCUGGAAUCGCUAGUAAUCGUAGAUCAGCAUGCUACGGUGAAUACGUUCCCGGGUCU